UGGCCUCCGGCCGCGGAAGCCGCGUCACCCUCUGUGCGCCGCAUGGCUGGCCUGCUCGGUGGCCUGGCCACUCCGUGCACGGGGAGAGGUGACACGGAUUUGCUGACUCGGUGGCCUCACCGCCGCCCACCAGAAGCGCACCGGUGUCCUUUUCUCCCUCCCCCACAAAGGGAAACCUGGUCUGCUCUUGUCUAAGGCAGACGCCCUCAGCCCAGCUGCGGCACCCCGCCCAUCCCGGGGUCAUGCGCCACCACGUGCCACCCGGUCAGCGGCCCGGGAUGAGGCCCCCUGCUCGCCGGCCUCUGACUCCAAAAGCAAGUUUCUGCCCCUUGGCAGGCAGAGGAAGGGCUGGAUAAAGCCACAUGCCUGCCCGAAUGGAAUGCCCCAUCCUGGCGUGUUCAUCAGGGAUGAAAGUGUUUCAGAAUGCUCUUUUGCCUUUCCGCACAAGGGGAGAGCACAGCCUUGAUGGUCGUCGGGGCCUGUGGCUCUCCUCAUCAGCAUCAGUCCGUGUCGGCCCAGGCCCCGCGCACCUGCCUGUGACCUUGGGCACCUGGCUUCCUGCCCCCAGCCUUCAGCAUCAAGCAGAUGUAAAAUUCAUGUCCACAAAGACGAUGAUGUUUUUGAGGUUUAAAUGAGUGAAUGAUUGCUAUAAAUAAAGAGAACUAAUAAAAAUAA